rnacentral:rRNA from 1 species
AUUGAACGCUGGCGGCAGGCCUAACACAUGCAAGUCGAACGAAUGGCGGACGGGUGAGUAAUGUCUGGGAAACUGCCCGAUGGAGGGGGAUAACUACUGGAAACGGUAGCUAAUACCGCAUACUAUUGGAGCGGCCGAUAUCGGAUUAGCUAGUUGGUGGGGUAACGGCUCACCAAGGCCACGAUGCAUAGCCGACCUGAGAGGGUGAUCGGCCACACUGGGACUGAGACACGGCCCAGACUCCUACGGGAGGCAGCAGUGGGGAAUAUUGCACAAUGGGCGCAAGCCUGAUGCAGCCAUGCCGCGUGUAUGAAGAAGGCCUUCGGGUUGUAAAGUACUUUCAGCGAGGAGGCGUUACUCGAAGAAGAAGCACCGGCUAACUACGUGCCAGCAGCCGCGGUAAUUC